CCUACGGGAGGCAGCAGUAGGGAAUUUUGCGCAAUGGGCGAAAGCCUGACGCAGCAACGCCGCGUGAUCGAGACGCCCUUCGGGGUGGAAAGAUCUGUCAGUGGGGACGAAACUUGACGGUACCCAAAGAGGAAGCACCGGCUAACUCCGUGCCAGCAGCCGCGGUAAUACGGGGGGUGCAAGCGUUGACCGGAAUCAUUGGGCGUAUAGAGUUCGUAGGCGGCACGUAAAGGCGGAUGUUAAAGGCAGAGGCUCACCUUCUGUACAGCAUUGGAUACUUGCGAGCUAGAAUGCGGUCGAGGUAAAGGGAAUUCCUGGUGUAGCGGUGAAAUGCUUAGAUAUCAGGAGGAACAUCGGUGGCGUAAGCGCUUUACUGGGCCGUAAUUGACGCUGAGGAACGAAAGCCAGGGUAGCAAAUGGGAUUAGAUACCCUAGUAGUC
rnacentral:rRNA from 1 species